rnacentral:tRNA from 1 species
GUCAUUGAGAUUUUAUUUUGAAAAUAAAGAUGAAGCAUUAAAUUGCUUUAAUGAUU